GUGAAUCAUCGAAUCUUUGAACGCAUAUUGCACUCUCUGGUAUUCCGGAGAGUAUGCCUGUUUGAGGGUCAUUAAAAAGUAUCUUUAACCAAUUUUUUUUGGUUAAAGGAAAUGAGUUCUCCGCGUUUAUAGCGGUAGCUUGAAAUAAAUGGUAGUCUCAUUUUAGUCGAGUCGCGUAAUAAUUUUAUUUCGCGAAAUCUUUAUUAUCUGACU
rnacentral:misc_RNA from 1 species